CCUACGGGUGGCUGCAGUGGGGAAUUUUGCGCAAUGGGCGAAAGCCUGACGCAGCAACGCCGCGUGGGUGAUGAAGGUCUUCGGAUCGUAAAACCCUGUCGUUGGGGACGAAGGUGGGGGCGUUAAUAGCGUUUCUGCUUGACGGUACCCGGAGAGGAAGCCCCGGCUAACUCUGUGCCAGCAGCCGCGGUAAUACAGAGGGGGCAUGUUUUGUUCGGAGUUAUUGGGGGCAAUUGUCGCAGUCAGGGUUGUAAUCCCCGAGCUCAACUUGGGAACUGCAUCUGAGACUGGAAGGCUAGAGUACUGGAGAGGGUGGUGGAAUUCCUCGUGUAGCGGUGAAAUGCGUAGAGAUGAGGAGGAACACCAGUGGCGAAGGCGGCCACCUGGACAGUAACUGACGCUGAGGCGCGAAAGUGUGGGUAGCAAACAGGAUUAGAUACCCCUGUAGUC
rnacentral:rRNA from 1 species